CGGCGAACGGGUGAGUAACACGUGGGUGAUCUGCCCUGCACUCUGGGAUAAGCCUGGGAAACUGGGUCUAAUACCGGAUAGGACCAUGCUUUAGUGUGUGUGGUGGAAAGUUUUUUCGGUGUAGGAUGAGCCCGCGGCCUAUCAGCUUGUUGGUGGGGUAAUGGCCUACCAAGGCGGCGACGGGUAGCCGGACUGAGAGGUUGGUCGGCCACAUUGGGACUGAGAUACGGCCCAG
rnacentral:rRNA from 1 species